CAGCUCUGAAAACGCUUCCAGGCUCAGUCUGCAAGUUGAGAAGCCUCUGAAGUCUUGUCCUGCCUGAGUGCUCCGCUCUGCAAAGGCUCCCAGACUCGAUUGGCAACUUAACCAGCCUCCAAGCUCUUCGGUUUGCCCGUUGUUCCAAUUUAGAGAUGGUUCAUGUAUUUCAAUGUUCCAAACUGCAAUGGGAUGUCGGAGUAGUAGAGCAGCUGCGCCAACGCCUGGGAAAAGGCUCUAUUGAAGAAAGAUGGCCAGAAGAUUCCAGUGAUGGAGAAGGAUUUAUCGAAGAAGGAUGGCAAGAAGUUUCCAAUGAUGGAGAAGGUUUCAAUGAAGAAAUAGAUUUCAGUGAAGAAAGCGGGUAUCCGGGAGACUAAAGCGAGUG
rnacentral:rRNA from 1 species